rnacentral:rRNA from 1 species
UACGGAGGAUCCGAGCGUUAUCCGGAUUUAUUGGGUUUAAAGGGAGCGUAGGCGGGUUGUUAAGUCAGUUGUGAAAGUUUGCGGCUCAACCGUAAAAUUGCAGUUGAUACUGGCAUCCUUGAGUACAGUAGAGGUAGGCGGAAUUCGUGGUGUAGCGGUGAAAUGCUUAGAUAUCACGAAGAACUCCGAUUGCGAAGGCAGCCUGCUGGACUGUAACUGACGCUGAUGCUCGAGAGUGUGGGUAUCAAACAGG